AAAAAAUACUAUAGAAUCAUUUUAUAAAUUUAGAAAUGUUUAGGUUAUGCAAUUUCUCAUAUGAUGUUUAAAACUUCUGAAGGUUGACAAAAAAUGUAGCAAUAAAUUUUACAACUGACAAAAAAUGUAGCAAAAAUGUAUUAAAAUAAAAACUGACAAAAAAUGUAGCGAUAAAUUUGUAAUGUGUAACUGUUAUUUUGGUUAUUAUAUGCAGCAAUCGCACAAAAUUUCGUAAACCUAGCUUAAAUAUUUAUGAAGAAGAAGAGUUAAGAUAAUUUUUCAAGAGUAUUUCAAAAAUAUAACUGAAUGAAAGGUUUUAUAAACAUACCAUAAAGCUUAACAUUUAAAGAAUCCAGAACAUCAGUGUCUGAUUCAGUAAUGUUAGCAAUGUCGUCAAAUGAAUCCCACUCUGCAAUGAAUUCUACUUCAUCCUCAUGUGCUGAAUUCUGCUAAAAUUUGUCUUUACCUCCAUCUAAAGAAUUUGAAAUUCCAUUCUUUUUAAAAUAUUUUGCAAUAACAUGUGAAUCUACAUUUUCCGCCUCUAAUAUCAUUUGACACAUGAUGUCUAUGGGAAUAAUAAUCAACUUAUAGACAGCAUAUGGGAAAUUUGCGAUCUUGUAAUGAAAGAUACGGAGUUGACUUAAUACAUCGGAUUUAUAUGGUAUCGGAAAAACUUAAUAUGGAUUAAAAUGCUUGAUUAGAUUCUGUUAGAGCAUAUUAUGAAUAGAUAAACACUUUUUGAAAAUGACAGAUAUACCCAAAUUGGUAAAAAAAAUUUGUUAAUUUGUUCAAAGUGUCUGCCAAUCUGUGAAAUUGUUCAUUUAUAUAAUAUGAUUUUUAUUGUGUUUCAUUUUAAUAGUUUAGUUUUAUUUUGAAAAUUUCUUUUUAACAAAUGAAGAUAUAGUAUCAUUCUUAAUAACUAUAUUUUAUUGUUCAAGUAGAUUAGGAGACUACUUGUUUGUUGCUGCAAGAAUAGUAAGUUUUAUUUCAGGCAAAAAGGAAUGCAUUUAUACUCAACCAAGUUACAAUAUUAGCCCUACUACAUCAAUUAAUACUAGUACAAAUCAAGGUUAUUCAAUUAUUUAUAUUCAACAACCAAUCCAGUGACAUAAUCAAAUUACCAAUUUUCAACAGAAGUUACCACUAGCUGUGUUAUAAAUACAGAAACUUGUAAUAUGAUACAGAAACUUGUAAAUAUUUUAAAUAAGGACUAUCAUUAAACAAAUAAUUUUCAUACAAUUUUUUUAUCAAUGGGCAAUGAAAAUAGUACAUGAUAUUAUAUGACUAUUUGUAAAAUAUGCACUUUAUUAGUCCUGUUUUACAGAUUAUUUUGUAUUAUAUUGCCUUUACAUGAAUUCAUAGUUGUUGAUUGACAGCAGAAUAUUAUACUUGCAUCUAUUUUUCCCAUUCAAAAUGGUUAAAAAUGUGGAGCAGAGUUGCCACUUAGACAUUCAAAGUUUUUAGAAAACUUUUAAUUGUUGCUUUUUGUGAUUAUUUAAUAUUUUCAAAAUUAUGCUUGCUUAAUUAAUUUAAAAGUUAGAUAUUCAGCAAAUUUAUAGUGUAGUGCUCAAUGCAAAUUUGUACAUUUCACAAAACAGAAAAUUUAACGAAUGUGAUAUGAUUCAAAUAAAAAGCAUCAAAUAAACUAAAUAAAAGAAUUUCAUAAGAUAAAUAAUGUAAAAAAAUUCUCCAUUGAAGCUAAAAAAUAAAAAUAGUGUAAUUUACAAUAUUUAAGUGGUGAUUCUGUUUUUCAUACGACAUUUAUUAGGUCAAAUGUAUUUUUCUUCUUUCCUUCUUGUGAAUGUGCAUGAAAAAUUUAUAUAUUUUUUUUGAUAAAAUAUGUAUUUUUUAGUUCUUUAUCAAAUUUAUAAAAUAUAUCAUACAGUUAUUUAGAUAAGAAUAAUUUUAUUCUUGUAUAAAUAAAAUAAAAAAUAUGCAACUUUUUUUUAAAUAGAUUAUUACUAUGAGUAUAUGAAAAUCUCUUAAAAGCUUACCAUAUAUGGAUACUAUUAUUUAAUAUAAUGUACUUGUUCUAAGUAUUAUUAUUGAAUAAAUAUUAAUAGUUCCUUUGUCUAGAUUCAAUAUAUAAAAUGAUUUCUUUGAAAUUGUUUAUUUUACAGAUCUUAAUUACCUAAGGGCAUAAAAUGGCAUUUAAGUAUUUCUUGUUUGUUAUGUGUACUAGUCAAAAACUUUGUCUUAUUAUGAUACUGAAGACAAUAACCAAUUUUUUUUUUGUCUCUCUUACUUAACAGACUUUCAGAUUUAAUUAUUUAAAAUAAAAAUAAAAAGUUAUUUUCCUGUUUGUUUUUUCUUUUCUUACAAUACUUAAGAAGAUUUGCCUAAAGUCUUAUUUCAUCUGUUUUAAUAUCAUCUUUAGGGUUGUGAAUAAUGUGAACUUAUUGUAAAUAUGUUUUUUAUUUCAUUGAAAGAGAGAGAAAUCAUGAGCAGAUUGUAACUACAUUGAAUGUUUGUUCAUUAAAAGUUUUAUUUAUUUAUGUA
rnacentral:lncRNA from 1 species